AAAAAUACAGAUGAAGCACACAUGGGAUAGAUGUAUAAACCUUCAACCUUAACAAAAAGGGAAGGAACAAUAGUCAGAUCCCAAGAUUUAUAGGAUUCCUAUCACAAUAAAAAAUAUAAUUAAAAUAGCCUUAUUCUAGGAAUAUAAUUUACAAAGCUUUCCAUCUGCACCUCAAGCUUAUGUAAUAUAAUUUAUAAUUAAAAUUCCAGACUCCUUAAGCUCAUUGGCAAGCUGACCUUGUGUGGACANNNNNNNNNNNNNNNNNAGUUUCCCUUUCUUAAAGUGUUUUUCAACCUCGAUGUGCCUUCUUAUGCUAUGUUUUUUUGUGUGUGACAUAGAUAUGUCUUCCCACCAUUAUACGUGUCUGCUAUUGCAACACCAUCUGAUUAUUUAAGUC
rnacentral:lncRNA from 1 species